AUUGAACGCUGGCGGCAGGCCUAACACAUGCAAGUCGAGCGGAUGAAGGGAGCUUGCUCCUGGAUUCAGCGGCGGACGGGUGAGUAAUGCCUAGGAAUCUACCUGGUAGUGGGGGAUAACGUCCGGAAACGGGCGCUAAUACCGCAUACGUCCUGAGGGAGAAAGUGGGGGAUCUUCGGACCUCACGCUAUCAGAUGAGCCUAGGUCGGAUUAGCUAGUUGGUGGGGUAAAGGCCUACCAAGGCGACGAUCCGUAACUGGUCUGAGAGGAUGAUCAGUCACACUGGAACUGAGACACGGUCCAGACUCCUACGGGAGGCAGCAGUGGGGAAUAUUGGACAAAGGGCGAAAGCCUGAUCCAGCCAUGCCGCGUGUGUGAAGAAGGUCUUCGGAUUGUAAAGCACUUUAAGUUGGGAGGAAGGGCAGUAAGUUAAUACCUUGCUGUUUUGACGUUACCAACAGAAUAAGCACCGGCUAACUUCGUG
rnacentral:rRNA from 1 species